CAGUAGCCACGGUAAUACGAAGGGUGCAAGCGUUACUCGGAAUUACUGGGCGUAAAGCGUGCGUAGGUGGUGGUUUAAGUCCGUUGUGAAAGCCCUGGGCUCAACCUGGGAAUUGCAGUGGAUACUGGGUCACUAGAGUGUGGUAGAGGAUAGUGGAAUUUCCGGUGUAGCAGUGAAAUGCGUAGAGAUCGGAAGGAACAUCUGUGGCGAAGGCGACUAUCUGGGCCAACACUGACACUGAGGCACGAAAGCGUGGGGAGCAAACAGGAUUAGAUACCCGGGUAGUCCCUGUCUCUUAACA
rnacentral:rRNA from 1 species